rnacentral:rRNA from 1 species
AUUGAACGCUGGCGGCAGGCCUAACACAUGCAAGUCGAGCGGUAACAUUUCUAGCUUGCUAGAAGAUGACGAGCGGCGGACGGGUGAGUAACGCGUAGAAAUCUACCUAGUAGUGGGGGAUAGCCCAGAGAAAUUUGGAUUAAUACCGCAUACGCCCUACGGGGGAAAGCGGGGGAUCUUCGGACCUCGUGCUAUUAGAUGAGUCUGCGUCGGAUUAGCUUGUUGGUGAGGUAAUGGCUCACCAAGGCGACGAUCCGUAGCUGGUCUGAGAGGAUGACCAGCCACACUGGAACUGAGACACGGUCCAGACUCCUACGGGAGGCAGCAGUGGGGAAUCUUGCACAAUGGGCGCAAGCCUGAUGCAGCCAUGCCGCGUGAGUGAAGAAGGCCUUAGGGUUGUAAAGCUCUUUCACCAGGGAAGAUAAUGACGGUACCUGGAGAAGAAGCCCCGGCUAACUCCGUG